UGAAUUCAAGAGAGUUGAUGCUGGCGGUCUUGUGGCUGCAUGUGCUCGCUCUCCUAAUCCAAUUUACACCUGUGCACUUAACUUUGAAGGGAGGGUAAAACCUGCCUUCGAAAUCUUUAAACUCUUAUAUAACGAAUGUUUAUCUGCCGCAAGGCAAAAUUUAAUACAACUUUUAACAACGGAUCUCUUGGCUCUCGCAUCGAUGAAGAACGCAGCGAAAUGCGAUAAGUAAUGUGAAUUGCAGAAUUCAGUGAAUCAUCGAAUCUUUGAACGCACCUUGCGCUCCCUGGUAUUCCGGGGAGCACGCCUGUUCGAGUGUCAUGAAACUCUCAAGCAAGAUAGAUUUAUUUCUAUCUCUGUUUGGAUAUGGACUCUGCCGCGUCAAUGCGGCUGGUCUUAAAUAUAUUAGCUGGUCCUAGUGAAGGUUUGGUUCUACUCAGCAUGAUAAUUAUCUGAUGUUGAGGACAGUCUUAGGACUGGCCAGGCUCUCUCUGGAUUGCUUCUAAUCGUCUUUGGACAAUUAAUCAAAAUCUGACCUCGAAUCAGGUGGGACUACCCGCUGAACUUAAGCAUAUC
rnacentral:rRNA from 1 species